AUUGGACACACACUAGCCAGCCUGCUGCAACAAUUCCCAACCUGUUUUCUCUGGCUGUCUUUUGUGGGGAACCCAGUCUUAAGCAUGCCUACCAGAAUGGCUUCUGCAGGUAAUCUACAAUGAAGAACCUGCAAAGGGAGGAAAACAAUGUGUUUCCAACACUAUGCUAGCUCUUCCUCUGCCCGGACCUAUGGGCCCCCGUGACAGACCAGCAUCCUGACUCUGGACACUUCCACCCAGGCCUUGACUUGCCAGGAAUGCAGCCUACAUAUCCCCACUGAUGAAAGCCAAGCAAGGGAAACCACCUGGUGUUUGAGGUGUCUGUUUGUGGAAUCCCUCAAGAUACAGGUAAGAGAGCUGUAGAAGGAGAUGGCUUGUCUGCACAGCAUCCAGGAGCUCAAGGACUUCAUUGGCAGGAUGCACAUGGAAACAUCUGGGACAGAGGAUGCUUGCUGCCUACAGAUGACUAUAGCAGCACCAAAGGUGGAAGGAGAAUCAGCUGUCCUAUUGGAAGAAAAUUGACUGCUGCUGGCUGACUCAAGUAAUAGGCAGAGCUCCACCUCCCACCCAGGUCAUCCAUUCAGCAAGGGGGAAGAACCACUAUGCUGUAUUGGCAUCAAAAAGUGAGCAACAGACCCCAAUGUCCUAGGAAGAGGAGCCACCUAUGCCAUCUCCCUCAAGCUGAGAGGCUCAUGACCGCUGCACCCAAGAGGAACAGUCAUAGGAUGCUGGUGGUUGGGGAUGUCAUCUGAUGACCUGACAUGAUCUCCUGGGAGGUAUGCCUAGAGCCCACAUCCAAGACAUUCUAGAAAGGUUUACCAAGGCUCAUCUAUCCCUCUGACCAUUGCCCCAUGCUGCUUAUCCACAUAGGCACUAAUUAUACUGCCAGGUAUGACCCAGAGCAGAUCAGCAGUGACUUCAGGAAUCUAGGAGCAAGGGUGAAGGAAUCAGGUUGUAUUCUCGCCCAUCCUCCCAGUUCACGGGCUCCAGUAUGCUGUUGUAAACAUUCCACUUCCAAGUUCUGCUUCUGACAGUUUCCUCAUAUUGCUCAAUCUACAGGAAAAUAACGACAUUAGUAGAGCUUAAUUAGGAGAACUGCAAGAGUGAACAUGAUGAAAACUGAUCCCAGAAAGAGACACUAAAAUCUGCUAGGAAAUGAAGCUCCGUGAAAGGAAUACCAAUAUUAGUCUUACAAGUUAAAAGGGACUGUGAGUCUGAGGGAUUAGGGACCUCAAUGGAGGAGGAAUCUUAUGAUCUGUGAGCAGAAUAAGAUGUGGUGUUUCCUGGAUGAAGACAUCUGAAGAGAGAACACGUGCACCUCUAGAGCAUGGCUGAUGAUGUGACAGCCAAAUUGCCACACUAUGCAGCUUUCAGGAGAAUGAAAGGUUUAUAGGUGAGAUAUUUAAAGAGGUCACCACGCCCAGAGCAUGUGGAUCUGGAAUGUAUAAAGUAGAAGAUAGUGCAGCAGAUAGGACUUGGAUUACUGUGAGCAAAAGAGAAUAAAGAAGUCGUGGCCAUUCAAAAGGGAAGGCAAGCCAUGCAGUGAAACUGUGAGGCAGGUUCUCAAUUCUACAAGAGCCUAAAGAUUACAAAGAAGGGAAUAUAUAUCAUCAAGGCAUCAUGGAACAACCCCCUACUCACGAAAAUGGUAGAAAUGGACACAGAAAAGGGACAGUUGGUAAUUUGAUAAAUGUUGAGGACAUGCUACUUUGAAAUACAGAAGGAUGGGCAUGCAGUUGGGACUCAAAGACAUAUUUUGCAAGGUGUCAAGAAAGGUGAAAGGACUUCACGGGUGGACACAUUCCCAGAAGGAAUGGAAGAAAAACCCAUAAUUUUACUUUAUGUUGGAGACCAUUGAGUAGGUAGAAGCUGAAAUAAUGCUUGAGGAAUUGAGAAGAUAGAUGGAGAUUUUAUAGAGAACAAACAGUAAUACAGGGAUUCAAUAAGAUUUUUCUAAAAAGCCAGAGAAUUUAGUGGCCCAAUCAUGUAACCAUCAUUCAGGCAUAACAGAUUUCAAAGGAGGUUUUUGCCUCCAUAAGGCUCGCAGCAUCAGGAUGUAGGCUUUUUCUUCUUUUGAAUCAAGAGUAUUAAAUGGGAACCUCAGAUGGGCAUGCCAGUUCUAAGUGAUAAACUAAAGAUUUGGACCAUGGCUUUAAUAUUUGAUCAGUGUGGCAUAAGAGUCUACAAUACAAGUGAAGUCCCAGAAAAAUCAGAAUAGCUUUAAAGUCAGUACCUGGAUAUUAUAUUUGGGAUUUAUAAUAUGUGAUAAUCUCACAUUUG